rnacentral:snoRNA from 1 species
AUCCAGAGAUUUGAUGGUGCAAUUGGGUGUAUUUAUUUAUAUGCCAAGACUUCCAACGCCUUGAGUCUCGCUGUGUCUUCACCUUGCAUUCCAUUGGAAUGAUUUACGCAGCGUCAUAGAUAGAUAUUCCAAUGGUGGCAGAAACCAUCGGUUUCUGCGUCUUUGGAAUCAAUCCAACUUUAAAACCAUCGCUAUUAGAGGUUGCUUCCAGUUUACUGGUUAAGCGAUCCAUGAAAUGGUGAUGACCUGAAGUUUGGAACAUCU